UUAGAGUUUAAUUCUAGUUUAACAUUUAAAUUUAAGAUUAUUUUACAUGCAAUUUUUUGAUUGAUUUAUAAGUUUCUCAAAGAAACUUAAUUAAUUCGCAGUAUUUACUAUUAAAAAUUAAUAAAAUUAGAAUUAGUAAUUUUUUAAAAAAGAAUCAAAUUUCGUGCCAGCAGUUGCGGUUAUACGAUUUCUUUAAUUUAAAUAUUUAAGUUUCAGUUAAUUAAAUGAUAAUAUAUAAUAUAUAUAAUUUUGGUAAAAUAUAUUUUUUUGUUAAAGUUUUAUUUUAUGUCUGAAAAAUUUUUAAUAUAAACUAGGAUUAGAUACCCUACUAUUAUAAGUGUAAUAAAAACAACUUGAUCACUAUUAGCAAAGAUCUUUAAAUUCAAAGAAUUUGGCGGUAAUUUAUCUUAUCAGAGGAACCUGUUUUAUGAUUGAUAAUCCACGAUAGAAUAAACUUUAAUUUAAUUUGUAUAUCUCUGUCAAGAAUGUUUUAUAAGAAAAAUUUUCAUAUAUUUUAUAUAUUAUAUGUCAGGUCAAGGUGCAGUUUAUAUUAAAGAAAAAAUGGGUUACAAUUAAAUUUUUAUUAAAUUGCUUUUUUUUUGAAAGUAUGAAAUUGGAUUUGACAAUAAGUUAAUUAAAUUUAAUUAAUUGAAAUUAGCCCUAAAUUAUGUACAUAUCGCCCGUCACUCUCAAUAUAUUAAUGAGAUAAGUCGUAACAAAGUAGCUGUACCGGAAGGUGUAGCUAGAAAGA
rnacentral:ncRNA from 1 species